CAUUUUGUCUAUGGCUACCCUGAAUGUGCCUGAUACUGUCUUAGCUCAGAAGCUAAGCAGGGCCAGGCAUUGCAAGUAUGUCGUAUUUGAAAGGUAGAAUGU
rnacentral:rRNA from 14 species